rnacentral:rRNA from 1 species
GAUGAACGCUGGCGGCGUGCCUAAUACAUGCAAGUCGAGCGAACAGAUGAGGAGCUUGCUCCUCUGACGUUAGCGGCGGACGGGUGAGUAACACGUGGAUAACCUACCUAUAAGACUGGGAUAACUUCGGGAAACCGGAGCUAAUACCGGAUAAUAUAUUGAACCGCAUGGUUCAAUAGUGAAAGACGGUUUUGCUGUCACUUAUAGAUGGAUCCGCGCCGUAUUAGCUAGUUGGUAAGGUAACGGCUUACCAAGGCAACGAUGCGUAGCCGAUCUGAGAGGGUGAUCGGCCACACUGGAACUGAGACACGGUCCAGACUCCUACGGGAGGCAGCAGUAGGGAAUCUUCCGCAAUGGGCGAAAGCCUGACGGAGCAACGCCGCGUGAGUGAUGAAGGUCUUCGGAUCGUAAAACUCUGUUAUUAGGGAAGAACAAAUGUGUAAGUAACUAUGCACGUCUUGACGGUACCUAAUCAGAAAGCCACGGCUAACUACGUG